GAUGGUAGUGGCUAAGUCAUUCCUGUGCCUUGGAGCUAGGAUCUGGAGUUUCUGGCUUGGUGAUCAGCAGGGAAGAGUCCUUCCUGAGCAAAGAUUGGGUGGAUACCCUGUUUCCCUCUGCUGACCAGUCCACCCUGGGAUCCUGUGACGUGAUCUUCAAGAAGUCCAGGCAGAUGAAUGACCUUUGCUGAACAUCAGGAAGUGAAGGUGCAGC